rnacentral:lncRNA from 1 species
CUCUCUCUCUCUCUCUUUUCUAAUAUGUACAUUCUUCUAUAUUAUAACUCUGAAUCCCCGCAUCCUUAUGCAUGUCGACUUCAGGUAUCCCACCCUCACAUAACAGAGCAAGCAUUUGGGUUCUCAUCGCUGAACAUCUGCGGCGCGUGAGGCGACUCCGCCGCGUACCCGUUUCCAUACCCGGGUCCAUAGGCAGGUGCGUAUUCAGCCCCGUAUCCGUAUCCGGGUGGUGCGUACAUCUGAGCAGGAUGAGCAGGAUGAGGAGGGUAGAAUUGGCCCGGUCCCGCUGUGAAACCGAAUCCGGGCAUGGACUCGUGUAAGAAAUAGUUCUCUUCUGCUUUGACGCCCUCUUCCUUCUUCCCUCCCCCAUCUGCCUUCUUAUCC